rnacentral:rRNA from 1 species
UGGGGAAUAUUGCACAAUGGACGGAAGUCUGAUGCAGCAACGCCGCGUGCGGGAUGACGGCCUUCGGGUUGUAAACCGCUUUUUCUCAUGACGAAGUUUUUUGACGGUAGUGGGGGAAGAAGAACCGGCUAACUACGUGCCAGCAGCCGCGGUGAUACGUAGGGUGCGAGCGUUGUCCGGAAUUAUUGGGCGUAAAGAGCUUGGAGGCGGUUUGUCGCGUCGAUAGUGCAAACUCAGUGCUUAACGCUGAGCCUGCUGUUGAUACGGGCAGACUAGAGGAAGGUAGGGGAGAAUGGAAUUCCCGGUGGGGCGGUGGAAUGCGCAGAUAUCGGGGGGAACACCGGUGGCGAAGGCGGUUCUCUGGGCCUUUCCUGACGCUGAGAAGCGAAAGCGUGGGGAGCGAACAGG